GACGAACCGUGCGAACGUUGUUCGGAAUCACUGGGCUUAAAGGGCGCGUAGGCGGGCCGCCAGGCCCGUGGUGAAAUCCCCCGGCUCAACCGGGGAAGUGCCGCGGGGACCGGCGGUCUGGAGUGAGAUAGGGGCGUGCGGAACUGUGGGUGGAGCGGUGAAAUGCGUUGAUAUCCUGAGGAACACCGGUGGCGAAAGCGGCGCGCUGGAUCUCUUCUGACGCUGAGGCGCGAAAGCCAGGGGAGCAAACGGG
rnacentral:rRNA from 1 species